rnacentral:rRNA from 1 species
AAUAGAUACCCCGGGUAGUCCACGCCGUAAACGUUGGAUACUAGGUGUGGCGGUCUUACCAACGACUGCCGUGCCGAAGCUAACGCAUUAAGUAUCCCGCCUGGGGAGUACGGCCGCAAGGCUAAAACUCAAAGGAAUUGACGGGUCCCGCACAAGCGGCGGAGCAUGCGGCUUAAUUCGAUGCAACCCGAAGAACCUUACCUGGGUUUGACAUCACGGGAAAAGCUGUAGAAAUACAGUGUCCAUUAGGGCCCGUGACAGGUGGUGCAUGGCUGUCGUCAGCUCGUGUCGUGAGAUGUUGGGUUAAGUCCCGCAACGAGCGCAACCCUUGUCCUAUGUUGCCAGCGGUUCGGCCGGGGACUCAUAGGAGACUGCCGGGGAUAACUCGGAGGAAGGUGAGGACGACGUCAAGUCAUCAUGCCCCUUAUAUCCAGGGCUGCACGCAUGCUACAAUGGCCGGUACAACGGGCAGCGAUCCCGCGAGGGUGAGCGAAUCCUAAAAAGCCGGUCUAGUUCGGAUUGAAGUCUGCAACUCGA